rnacentral:lncRNA from 1 species
AGUGGCUGAGGGGUUAGGGACAUGGAGAACUGAAAGCCCUUGAAUUUGUGUAGGAGUGGCAUUAUUUCUUCCUUAAAUAUUUGAAAGAUUUCACCAUCUGGACCUGAAGUUUUCAUUGUGGGGAUCAUCAUCAUCAUCAUCAUCAUCAUCAUCAUCAUCAUCAUCAUCAUCAAUAAGAGCAGAGUGGGGUCUUGCUUUGAGCAUGGUGAAAAUGGGUCGUUUGCUGAAAAGUUGCAUGAGUGACCGAACCUCUGCGACUGAGAGCCGACACAGGCCUUGUCCCGAUCAUCACCUCCCUGCCCCAGAGGAGACUGGAUUGUGCAGGACUCCUGGCCAUUCUGAUCUAGGAGACAGGGCGUGGCAAAACUGGCUGGGGAAACUGUCAAUCACCAGUUCCCAGGUAACUUGAAGACCCAUAUGUGGAACUUCCCACAAGCCUUCACGCAGUGUGGACAGCGUAAAAAGGACUGGCUCUCACGGAAAGCCUAUCGUGCGUGAGUUUGCACAGUAGCCUGGCGUGUCUGAUAGCGGCGUGUACUUCUAUUUUUGCUUUUACCGUCUUUUUCUUUUUGUCCGGCCCAAGCUUGCUCUGCAGAGCUGAUUUCUCCUAUACCCUUUUACCCCACACUUUUCAAAUAAACUUUUU